GUGAACUACCACAGAACCACGUCUUCAGUGACUUCCGAAGAAGCCACUGAAGACGUGGUUCUGUAGCUUCUUCGGGAGCCUGAGUUCACCAGACUCGUUUCCAGAAAUGGGAACGGCGUUCGAUUGGUCAUGACACCUGCGGUUGACGCAUCAGACCGCUGCUCUGUC
rnacentral:sRNA from 21 species